UACGUAGGGGGCAAGCGUUGUCCGGAAUUAUUGGGCGUAAAGAGCGUGUAGGCGGUUCGGUAGGUCCGUUGUGAAAACUCGAGGCUCAACCUCGAGACGCCGAUGGAAACCCCCGAACUAGAGUCCGGAAGAGGAGAGUGGAAUUCCUGGUGUAGCGGUGAAAUGCGCAGAUAUCAGGAAGAACACCCGUGGCUAAGGCGGCUCUCUAGUACGGUACUGACGCUGAGACGCGAAAGCGUGGGGAGCGAACAGG
rnacentral:rRNA from 1 species